GAGAGGUCUUGCCUGAGUUGGUUGAGAGUUGGUGCUGUCUCUGAUUGGCUGUGCAGCUGAUUUGGAUUCUGAGAGGAUUCUAUGCAUAUUGUGAUGAUUGGUAUCCCUACAUAACUGAGAUAAGAAGUGUAGGAGCCAAGAUACAGUGUUUUUUGGUGAUCCCAGCUAAUGAAAAAAUCUCCACUCAAGGGUCCAGUUGAUACCAAAACUGGUAUUAUACCAUAAGGAUACCAAAUUGGAACUUUUCCAUUUGGCCUUUAAAGUUUAAUGUUCCGUUUAGACAAUUCCUUUGGCCCAUAUGACUAUUUUAAAUGAAUUUUAAUGUUUUACCUUUGUA